rnacentral:sRNA from 1 species
GCAACACGAGCCUGAACGGCUUGAUUUCCUUGGAAAUCAAUUGGCUUCGUUGUUGCGAUGUUGUGUUUGCAAACUCGUAUUUCGAGUUAGGUAGAUUUCUACCAUGAUGUUUUGUCCACACU